UACGUAGGGGGCUAGCGUUGUCCGGAUUUAUUGGGCGUAAAGAGCGUGUAGGCGGCCAGGUAGGUCUGCUGUGAAAACUCGAGGCUCAACCUCGAGACGUCGGCGGAAACCAUUUGGCUAGAGUCCGGAAGAGGAGAGUGGAAUUCCUGGUGUAGCGGUGAAAUGCGCAGAUAUCAGGAAGAACACCCGUGGCGAAGGCGGCUCUCUGGGACGGUACUGACGCUGAGACGCGAAAGCGUGGGGAGCGAACAGG
rnacentral:rRNA from 1 species